rnacentral:rRNA from 1 species
GACAGAGGGGGCAAGCGUUGCUCGGAAUUACUGGGCGUAAAGGGCGCGUAGGCGGGAUGGCAAGUCGGUCGUGAAAUCCCUCGGCUCAACCGAGGAACGUCGAUCGAUACUGCUGUUCUUGAGGAUUGCAGAGGAGACUGGAAUUCCCGGUGUAGCGGUGAAAUGUGUAGAGAUCGGGAGGAACACCGGUGGCGAAGGCGGGUCUCUGGGCAAUUCCUGACGCUGAGGCGCGAAAGCGUGGGGAGCAAACGG